UCCACAUCACCCUUCACCUUGGGACCUUUCAGAUGCAAAUCAAAGUCAGGCAUGGAGAUCUUGGGGGCUUUGAUGUUCAUCUCAGGCAUCUUGAAUUUAGGGCCCUUUAGUUUCGCAUCUGGACCUUCGAUAUUCACAUCAGGAACAUCAAUGUCCACCUUGGGUCCUGAGACGUCAAGGUCAGCCUUGGGCAGGUUCACAUCCACAUCUGGGCCCUCUCCUUUGAAGCCAGGCAUGCUGAACUUGGGCAUUUUCACCUUGGGCAUCUUCAGGUGCCAAUCUGGGCCAUGAACAUCCACAUCUGGAGCACUAAUGUCAACUUUGGGCCCUUUAAUGUCAACAUCUGGCACUUUCAUUUCACCUUCUACCUC
rnacentral:lncRNA from 1 species